CAAGUGCUUUCAUGAUUUCUCACAUUAUAAAGGACCUGUGAUAAUGUGGGAAAUCACGAAAACGCUCGGAAUUUCUCUAUUUUUUUCACACUGGUUAUUUUGCUUAUAUAACCAUAUAUAUCAUAAUAAUACAUGAACUCUCUGGGAGCUCCUUUUUCGUUGCAUAUUCCUGUUUCUUAACGAGUAGGCUGUAGUAUUAUAGUUUUGUGUGUCUGGCAACACUGUUGACCAAUGUUGACGUUCCUCAGGCAAUGUGUGGCUGUUCUGUUCUACACUCGACUAUUGCUUCGUUUUUUCUUCUGUUACGGCGUACGUUGAGUAUUCGUUAUACCCGGGCGUAAGAAGAGGAGCAGACGGAGGAAGUAGCUAUGUUAAAUGAAGAUGGAAGUGAGGAGAACGAUGCUGAACUGGUCAAAUAACACGUGGAUGGUCGGGGCUGAACCACUCCAAGAUACCUCAUGGAAAAAUGCCCAAUACCAUCCAAUGAGCGCUGUCAUCUACGCUGCCCAACUACAUUUACUCUAAACCCCCACUUUUGAUACAGUCUGACUUUUUAACAGAAACUAACUUAUUGCACCAACUUUGAUCUUAGUUUACCUCAAACUCUCCUCUGCCUCUUAUUAUUAUUGUGGGGAGUGCUAAACCAAUAGGGAUUAUACAGUGCCUAUGCAGGGGGGGGGGAGGCAUUCAGGCUUAAUACAGGGAAAUGGAACACAGAUCCAGAGCCCCUCACCAGCAUUAAGGAACCUCCUUUCAUGGGGAUCCUCUUCCCCUUACCCUUUCCACACUUCCCUCCUCUUCCCCAUCCCUUGCUGUAGUGCUUUAUGAUCCUUUUGCCGAAAGGGUCAUAUAGCACUGCAGCUUUCGAGUUUAGUUUUAUUAUUAUUAGGAUUUAAAAAUAGUCCGACCCUUUCAGGGCCACUCAUUACAUUUGAGGCGAGAUAAGAGUCUGGGAGGGUAAGGAAUAUGCUUGCCAUAUCUAAUAACUGACCCAAAGUAGUUAAAAUACAUAUGCCCAAGCCUCUUGUAUAUUCCUGCCCCUCAAGAGAGGUUCCUUGAUGCUGAUGGGCUCUUGAUCUAGGGAAUUGGAUCUGUGCUCCAGUUGCCUGAAUACCCACCCCCCACAAGCACUGUAUAAUACCUACAGAAUUAGUGCUCCCCAUAAUUGUAUAUUCAUGCAUAUUGUUGGUAAACUAGUUUUAUUUUGAACCAAUGCAUGUUCAGGGUGAUUGUCAAGACUUUAUACAGUCAUUGACUCUGAUAAAUUUUGUUAAAGAAUUCUUAUUUACAUUUUAAAUUAGACAUGUGCUAAACCCAGAGGUCAUACAGCUUGUCAAGUGUGAAUUAAUACAUUUAGUAAUGCACAGCACUGUAUGACCCUGCUGGUUUAGAACUUGGUUUUGAUACCAAUAAUUUAGUACUGCAGUAAUACGUUUAGGUAAACUGUUAAAUAAAAUGUAAAAUUUUGUUA